UCGCAAAGAAAUUGUCACACUGAUGGAA
rnacentral:sRNA from 1 species